AGAGUUUGAUCAUGGCUCAGGAUGAACGCUGGCGGCGUGCUUAACACAUGCAAGUCGAACGAGGAAUGCUGAUGAAGUUUUCGGAUGGAUUCGGUAUUCCGAGUGGCGGACGGGUGAGUAACGCGUGGGUAACCUGCCCUGUACAGGGGGAUAACAGUUGGAAACGACUGUUAAUACCGCAUAAGACCACAGCACCGCAUGGUGCAGGGGUAAAAACUCCGGUGGUACAGGAUGGACCCGCGUCCAAUUAGCUGGUUGGUGAGGUAACGGCCCACCAAGGCGACGAUUGGUAGCCGAUCUGAGAGGAUGACCGGCCACAUUGGGACUGAGACACGGCCCAAACUCCUACGGGAGGCAGCAGUGGGGAAUAUUGCACAAUGGGGGAAACCCUGAUGCAGCGACGCCGCGUGAGUGAUGAAGUAUUUCGGUAUGUAAAGCUCUAUCAGCAGGGAAGAAAAUGACGGUACCUGAGUAAGAAGCCCCGGCUAACUACGUGCCAGCAGCCGCGGUAAUACGUAGGGGGCAAGCGUUAUCCGGAUUUACUGGGUGUAAAGGGAGCGCAGACGGCGAUGCAAGUCUGAAGUGAAAUUCCACGGCUUAACUGUGGAACUGCUUUGGAAACUGUGUUGCUAGAGUGCUGGAGAGGUAAGCGGAAUUCCCAGUGUAGCGGUGAAAUGCGUAGAUAUUGGGAAGAACACCGGUGGCGAASGCGGCUUACUGGACAGUAACUGACGUUCAUGCUCGAAGGCGUGGGGAGCAAACAGGAUUAGAUACCCUGGUAGUCCACGCGGUAAACGAUGAAUACUAGGUGUUGGCAUCCAAAGGAUGUCRGUGCCGUCGCAAACGCAUUAAGUAAUCCACCUGGGGAGUACGUUCGCAAGAAUGAAACUCAAAGGAAUUGACGGGGACCCGCACAAGCGGUGGAGCAUGUGGUUUAAUUCGAAGCAACGCGAAGAACCUUACCAAAUCUUGACAUCCUUCUGACAGUACUGAUAAACGGUAUUCUCUUCGGAGCAGGAGUGACAGGUGGUGCAUGGUUGUCGUCAGCUCGUGUCGUGAGAUGUUGGGUUAAGUCCCGCAACGAGCGCAACCCUUGUUCUUAGUAGCCAGCAGGUAAAGCUGGGCACUCUAGGAAGACUGCCGGAGACAAUCCGGAGGAAGGUGGGGAUGACGUCAAAUCAUCAUGCCCCUUAUGAUUUGGGCUACACACGUGCUACAAUGGCGUAAACAAAGGGAAGCAGAGCCGCGAGGCCGAGCAAAUCCCAAAAAUAACGUCUCAGUUCGGAUUGUAGUCUGCAACUCGACUACAUGAAGCUGGAAUCGCUAGUAAUCGCGAAUCAGAAUGUCGCGGUGAAUACGUUCCCGGGUCUUGUACACACCGCCCGUCACACCAUGGGAGUCGGUAACGCCCGAAGUACGUGACCUAACCGCAAGGAAGGAGCGUCCGAAGGCGGGACUGAUAACUGGGGUGAAGUCGUAACAAGGUAACCGUA
rnacentral:rRNA from 1 species